GUGGGGAAUAUUGGGCAAUGGGGGAAACCCUGACCCAGCAACGCCGCGUGAAGGAAGAAGGUUUUCGGAUCGUAAACUUCUAUCCUUGGUGAAGAUAAUGACGGUAGCCAAGAAGGAAGCCCCGGCUAACUACGUGCCAGCAGCCGCGGUAAUACGUAGGGGGCAAGCGUUGUCCGGAAUGAUUGGGCGUAAAGGGCGCGUAGGCGGCCUGGUAAGUCUGGAGUGAAAGUCCUGCUUUUAAGGUGGGAAUUGCUUUGGAUACUGUCGGGCUUGAGUGCAGGAGAGGUAAGCGGAAUUCCCGGUGUAGCGGUGAAAUGCGUAGAGAUCGGGAGGAACACCAGUGGCGAAGGCGACUUACUGGACUGUAACUGACGCUGAGGCGCGAAAGUGUGGGGAGCAAACAGGAUUAGAUACCCCAGUAGUCC
rnacentral:rRNA from 1 species